GUGGGGAAUAUUGGACAAUGGGGGGAACCCUGAUCCAGCCAUGCCGCGUGUGUGAAGAAGGCCUUUUGGUUGUAAAGCACUUUAAGCGAGGAGGAGGCUACCGAGAUUAAUACUCUUGGAUAGUGGACGUUACUCGCAGAAUAAGCACCGGCUAACUCUGUGCCAGCAGCCGCGGUAAUACAGAGGGUGCAAGCGUUAAUCGGAUUUACUGGGCGUAAAGCGCGCGUAGGUGGCCAAUUAAGUCAAAUGUGAAAUCCCCGAGCUUAACUUGGGAAUUGCAUUCGAUACUGGUUGGCUAGAGUAUGGGAGAGGAUGGUAGAAUUCCAGGUGUAGCGGUGAAAUGCGUAGAGAUCUGGAGGAAUACCGAUGGCGAAGGCAGCCAUCUGGCCUAAUACUGACACUGAGAUGCGAAAGCAUGGGGAGCAAACAGGAUUAGAUACCCCAGUAGUCC
rnacentral:rRNA from 1 species